rnacentral:rRNA from 1 species
GACAGAGGUUGCAAACGUUGUUCGGAAUUACUGGGCGUAAAGGGCGCGUAGGCGGCCUGCUAAGUCGGAUGUGAAAUCCCUCGGCUCAACCGAGGAACUGCAUCCGAUACUGGCGGGCUUGAAUCCGGGAGAGGGAUGUGGAAUUCCAGGUGUAGCGGUGAAAUGCGUAGAUAUCAGGAGGAACACCGGUGGCGAAGGCGGGACUCUGGGCCGAUACUGACGCUGAGGAGCGAAAGCGUGGGGAGCAAACAGG